AAAACGGUCCUUUUCAGGGCCACCAGUUGCUUUAGAAAAGUGAAC
rfam:Daphnia magna strain Xinb3 scaffold01581, whole genome shotgun sequence.